rnacentral:rRNA from 1 species
CCUGCGGGGAGCUGCAGUGGGGAAUAUUGGACAAUGGGCGAAAGCCUGAUCCAGCCAUGCCGCGUGUGUGAAGAAGGCCUUCGGGUUGUAAAGCACUUUCAGUGGGGAAGAAAGCCUUGGGGCUAAUACCCUCGAGGAAGGACAUCACCCACAGAAGAAGCACCGGCUAACUCCGUGCCAGCAGCCGCGGUAAUACGGAGGGUGCGAGCGUUAAUCGGAAUUACUGGGCGUAAAGCGCGCGUAGGCGGUCUGAUAAGCCGGUUGUGAAAGCCCCGGGCUCAACCUGGGAACGGCAUCCGGAACUGUCAGGCUAGAGUGCAGGAGAGGAAGGUAGAAUUCCCGGUGUAGCGGUGAAAUGCGUAGAGAUCGGGAGGAAUACCAGUGGCGAAGGCGGCCUUCUGGACUGACACUGACGCUGAGGUGCGAAAGCGUGGGUAGCAAACAGGAUUAGAUACCCUGGUAGUC